rnacentral:SRP_RNA from 14 species
CCGCGCCUGCCAGGCUAUGUUGGCCAGCCCUUCCCAAGCAUGCAGGUGCGCGUGGUCGACGAGGAGGAGGGCACGGCGACGAUGCCC